UACAGAGGUCUCAAGCGUUGUUCGGAUUCAUUGGGCGUAAAGGGUGCGUAGGCGGCGCGGUAAGUCGGGUGUGAAAUCUCGGGGCUUAACUCCGAAACUGCAUUCGAUACUGCCGUGCUUGAGGACUGGAGAGGAGACUGGAAUUUACGGUGUAGCGGUGAAAUGCGUAGAUAUCGUAAAGGAAGACCAGUGGCGAAGGCGGGUCUCUGGACAGUUCCUGA
rnacentral:rRNA from 1 species